GCUGGGAUUACAGGCUUGAGUCGUGCCUGUAGUCCCAGCUACUCGGGAGGCUGAGGUGGGAGGAUCGCUUGAGCCUAGGAGUUCUGGGCUGUAGUGCGCUAUGCCCAUCGGGUGUCCGCACUAAGUUCGGCAUCAAUAUGGUGACCUCCCAGGAGCGGGUGACCACCAGGUUGCCUAAGGAGGGGUGAACCGGCCCAGGUCGGAAACGGAGCAGGUCAAAACUCCCGUGCUGAUCACUCUGACUUUUCAAAGCUGGAUCAAAAGGAAAACACCUGGGUCUGGGGGCAGGGAACCUAAGGCCAAUUAACACAAAAUUCCUAAAGCUAAACCAAAGGGAAAAACCCCAUCUCC
rnacentral:SRP_RNA from 1 species